rnacentral:rRNA from 1 species
GGCUCAGAUUGAACGCUAGCGGGAUGCUUUACACAUGCAAGUCGAACGGCAGCGCGAGAGAGCUUGCUCUCUUGGCGGCGAGUGGCGGACGGGUGAGUAAUAUAUCGGAACGUGCCCAGUAGCGGGGGAUAACUACUCGAAAGAGUGGCUAAUACCGCAUACGCCCUACGGGGGAAAGGGGGGGAUCGCAAGACCUCUCACUAUUGGAGCGGCCGAUAUCGGAUUAGCUAGUUGGUGGGGUAAAGGCUCACCAAGGCAACGAUCCGUAGCUGGUUUGAGAGGACGACCAGCCACACUGGGACUGAGACACGGCCCAGACUCCUACGGGAGGCAGCAGUGGGGAAUUUUGGACAAUGGGGGAAACCCUGAUCCAGCCAUCCCGCGUGUAUGAUGAAGGCCUUCGGGUUGUAAAGUACUUUUGGCAGAGAAGAAAAGGUAUCCCCUAAUACGGG